rnacentral:tRNA from 1 species
GGCAUAGCUUGUUGGCAGCAGCGAAAGCUGUAGGAGAAUGAAAAUCCGUUGACUGCAAGGUCGUGAGGGUUCAAGUCCCUCUGCCCCCA